CAGCAGCCGCCACGGUAAUACGGAGGGUGCAAGCGUUAAUCGGAAUUACUGGGCGUAAAGCGCACGCAGGCGGUCUGACAAGUCAGAUGUGAAAUCCCCGGGCUUAACCUGGGAACUGCAUUUGAAACUGUCAGGCUGGAGUCUUGUAGAGGGGGGUAGAAUUCCAGGUGUAGCGGUGAAAUGCGUAGAGAUCUGGAGGAAUACCGGUGGCGAAGGCGGCCCCCUGGACAAAGACUGACGCUCAGGUGCGAAAGCGUGGGGAGCAAACAGGAUUAGAUACCCCAGUAGUCCCUGUCUCUUAUAC
rnacentral:rRNA from 1 species